rnacentral:rRNA from 1 species
CAUGAAGCUGGAAUCGCUAGUAAUCGCGAAUCAGAAUGUCGCGGUGAAUACGUUCCCGGGUCUUGUACACACCGCCCGUCACACCAUGGGAGUUGGAAAUGCCCGAAGCCGGUGACCGAACCUUAGGGACGGAGCCGUCGAAGGUGGAGCCAAUGACUGGGGUGAAGUCGUAACAAGGUACC